rnacentral:tRNA from 1 species
AAUAACUAUAUUUAAUAUUAAAUAAAAUUUUAUACUAAUAAUAAAAUAAUUAUUUUUAAAUUUAAAAUUUUUAUUAUUA